AGCGAACGCUGGCGGCAGGCUUAACACAUGCAAGUCGAGCGCCCCGCAAGGGGAGCGGCAGACGGGUGAGUAACACGUGGGAACGUACCCUUUGGUUCGGAACAACCCAGGGAAACUUGGGCUAAUACCGGAUAAGUCCGCGAGGAGAAAGAUUUAUCGCCGAAGGAUCGGCCCGCGUCUGAUUAGCUAGUUGGUGUGGUAACGGCGCACCAAGGCGACGAUCAGUAGCUGGUCUGAGAGGAUGAUCAGCCACACUGGGACUGAGACACGGCCCAGACUCCUACGGGAGGCAGCAGUGGGGAAUAUUGGACAAUGGGGGCAACACUGAUCCAGCCAUGCCGCGUGAGUGAUGAAGGCCCUAGGGUUGUAAAGCUCUUUCGGUGGGGAAGAUAAUGACGGUACCCACAGAAGAAGCCCCGGCUAACUUCGUG
rnacentral:rRNA from 1 species